UACGUAGGCAGCGAGCGUUGUUCGGAGUUACUGGGCGUAAAGGGUGUGUAGGCGGUUGUUUAAGUUUGGUGUGAAAUCUCCCGGCUCAACUGGGAGGGUGCGCCGAAUACUGAAUGACUUCGAGUGCGGGAGAGGAAAGUGGAAUUCCUGGUGUAGCGGUGAAGUGCGUAGAUAUCGGAAAGAACACCAACGGCGAAAGCACUCUGCUGGGCCGACACUGACACUGAGAGACGAAAGCUAGGGGAGCGAAUGGG
rnacentral:rRNA from 1 species